UUACCGAUGAGUGGGGGAGUAAACCUUCCGAAAGGAGGGCUAAUACCGCAUAAGACCACGGGGAGUCCGCUCCUUGGGGUCAAAGCCGGCCUCUGUAUACAAGCUGGCGCUUAUCGAUGGGUCCGCGGCCCAUCAGCUAGUUGGCGGUGUAAGAGACCACCAAGGCAAAGACGGGUAGCUGGUCUGAGAGGAUGAUCAGCCACACUGGAACUGAGACACGGUCCAG
rnacentral:rRNA from 1 species